rnacentral:tRNA from 1 species
UGCCGCCCUGCGGCGGCGUUUCGGUUGGUGUCCGCUCAAAGCGGACGGUGUGCCGCGGAAGCGGCGGAGGGGUCUUAGCCCUCGACGGUGA